UUCCCUCGACCAUAGAAACAAGAGCAGCAAUAACUUCAUCUUGACUACCACGAACUUGCUUAGUAGAAUCACGUUCGCGAAGUGUAAUAGUUUCGUUUUGAAGAGUCUCAAAGUCUACAGUCAACCCGAAGGGAGUUCCCAAUUCAUCGUUACGAGCAUAGCGACGGCCAAUAUUGGCAUUAGAAUCGUCUAUUUUAUUAGAAAUGCCAAGAUUGCGAAGUUUGGCAGACAAUUUCUUUACAAAAGGAGCGAACUCAGCAUUGCGGCUCAAAGGAACAAUGAGGGCCUUAAU